rnacentral:rRNA from 1 species
AAAUUGAAGAGUUUGAUCAUGGCUCAGAUUGAACGCUGGCGGCAGGCCUAACACAUGCAAGUCGAACGGUAACAGAAAGCAGCUUGCUGCUUUGCUGACGAGUGGCGGACGGGUGAGUAAUGUCUGGGAAACUGCCUGAUGGAGGGGAUAACUACUGGAAACGGUAGCUAAUACCGCAUAACGUCGCAAGACCAAAGAGGGGGACCUUCGGGCCUCUUGCCAUCGGAUGUGCCCAGAUGGGA